CAAAGGGUGAACUAUACAAAGAAUUGCAGAAGUCUAAAUAUUUUAGUGAAAGACGUGCUGCUACGUAUGUUGCAUCGUUAGCUCGGGCACUGAUUUAUUGCCAUGGCAAGCAUGUAAUUCACAGAGACAUCAAGCCUGAGAACCUUUUAGUUGGUGCACAGGGUGAGCUGAAGAUUGCAGAUUUUGGUUGGUCGGUGCAUACAUUUAAUCGUAGACGCACGAUGUGUGGAACAUUGGAUUACCUGCCCCCUGAGAUGGUGGAAAGCGUAGAGCAUGAUGCUAGUGUUGAUAUCUGGAGCCUGGGAGUUUUGUGUUAUGAGUUUUUGUAUGGGGUACCUCCUUUUGAGGCCAAGGAACACUCAGACACAUACAGAAGGAUUGUGCAAGUGGAUCUAAAGUUCCCUCCUAAACCUGCCGUUUCUUCUGCUGCCAAGGACCUAAUUAGUCAGAUGCUUGUCAAGGACUCUGCACAGCGCCUGCCAUUGCACAAGCUACUUGAGCAUCCUUGGAUCGUUCAGAAUGCUGAUCCCUCUGGCACAUAUAGGGGUUGACUUGCCUUAAUCAUGGUGGAAGAUUUUAAGCGGAGACAUCACAAGAACUUUGUGGUUGGAAUGUGAAUAUUCAGGUGCUGCUAAGACCUUAUGGUGUCUCCAUGCUUUGUAAAACAAGAAACCAUUUGUUGUUGAAUGAUUAUGUCAAUUGUAUGUUGAAUUAUUUUCGUCUAUCCAAUUAAAAGCAAUGUCAAGUCACUUCUGAGAUCCCUCUUGC
rnacentral:misc_RNA from 1 species